rnacentral:rRNA from 1 species
UACGUAGGGGGCUAGCGUUGUCCGGAUUUAUUGGGGGUAAAGCGCUUGUAGGCGGCCGGCUAGGUCUGGUGUGAAAACUCGAGGCUCAACCUCGAGAUGUCGCCGGAAACCAGUCGGCUAGAGACCGGAAGAGGAGAGUGGAAUUCCUGGUGUAGCGGUGAAAUGCGCAGAUAUCAGGAAGAACACCUAUGGCGAAAGCAGCUCUCUGGGACGGUACUGACGCUGAGACGCGAAAGCGUGGGGAGCGAACAGG